UACGGGGGGAGCAAGCGUUGUUCGGAUUUACUGGGCGUAAAGGGCGCGUAGGCGGCGCAACAAGUCACUUGUGAAAUCUCCGGGCUUAACCCGGAGCGGUCAAGUGAUACUGUCGUGCUAGAGUGCGGAAGGGGCUACUGGAAUUCUCGGUGUAGCGGUGAAAUUCGUAGAUAUCGGGAGGAACACCGGUGGCGAAGGCGGCGACCUGGGUAGAUACUGACGCGUGAGGUGCGAAAGCGUGGGGAGCAAACAGG
rnacentral:rRNA from 1 species